GUGAGAGCUCAUAGCAGAGGCAACCAGAGUAGGCUAGACUAGCGAUUCAAGUCAGGCUUACUGAAUAAAGGGAUACUUAAGCAGAGCCCUGGAAGAUGAGCCAGACCCUAUCCUGUGGAAAAAAGAAUGUGAAAGGAAUGCAUUCCAGGCACAGGGAGCUAUAGCAGGGACUAGCAGGAGAUGAAACUGGAUGGAGUAAGUUACAAACAGAAGCAUGGGAUGAUUAGAUGAACAUUUCACAAACAACAUUCUGCCUGCAGGGACACACAUCCUGGAGACUGGUUCACCAUCUAGGAUCACCAGAGAAAGUAUCCCGUGGACCUUGCUUAAGGGGCCAUCCCAAGUUCUCUUUGCCCCAUCAUUGCUGAAAAGUGCCACAGCUCCCAGGAUUGGGUCCAUGCUUCCCACCACCAGAAGAUAAUGGGAUGUUAGUGGAGCUGCUAUUACUUGCUGUUAUCUCCCAUGAUCCUCCUGUGAAGUGGAUAUGAAGAUAAACACUACACACGCGUAUCACUUCCUUGUAUUAACUGGGACUUUUAUUACUUACAUGUUCCACUGGGUAAGAUCCUUAAAACUGAGAUUUCACCAAAAAUAAGUUAACAAAUAGAAAUAGGACUUCAAGCUCAUGGGUAUACCCCACUAAGUACUCCAAAUAUCAGGAAUGGAUCACUCCUACCCCUUAACACUCUAAGAUAAUCAAAUUACUAGCUAUAUCUGACUCCCUACUCAUACUUAACCAGUUUAACCUCUCCAGUUGGUCCUUUCGAUGCUGAGCAGUUUAUCCCACAGGCUUUAAAACUCUUGCUAUUCAAAGUGUGGUCUAUGGGUCAGCAGCAUCAGUAUCACCUAGAAGCUUGUUAGAAAUGUAGAAUCUCAGACUUCAUUGCAGACCUGCUGAAUGAGAAUCUGUUUUACCAAGAUUUCCAGGUGAUUCACGUGUACAUUAAAGUUCGACAGGCAUUGCUUACAAGGACUUAGCUCUACCUUCCCAUUGGUUAACUAAGUCCUUGUGAAGACACACUGGGACCCAGUAACAAUAAUCAAGGUCAGCUGUGCACCACAGAAAAUGAACCAUCACCAAUCUAAUGAUUGUUCCUACUGGUUAUUUGGUUGGUCACUGAGGG
ensembl:lncRNA